rnacentral:rRNA from 1 species
CCUACGGGCGUCAGCCGUGGGGAAUAUUGCACAAUGGGGGAAACCCUGCUGCCGCGACGCCGCGUGAGUGAAGAAGUAAUUCUUUAUGUAAAGCUCUAUCAGCAGGGAAGAAAAUGACGGUACCUGAGUACGACGCCCCGGCUCACUCCGUGCCAGCCGCCGCGGUCAUACGUAGGGGGCAAGCGUUAUCCGGAUUUACUGGGUGUAAAGGGAGCGUAGACGGCAGUGCAAGUCUGGAGUGAAAGGCGGGGGCUCAACCCCCGGACUGCUCUGGAAACUGUACGGCUGGAGUGCAGGAGAGGUAAGUGGAAUUCCUAGUGUAGCGGUGAAAUGCGUAGAUAUUAGGAGGAACACCAGUGGCGAAGGCGGCUUACUGGACUGUAACUGACGUUGAGGCUCGAAAGCGUGGGGAGCAAACAGGAUUAGAUACCCGAGUAGUC